CUUGCUUCCAGCCCAAGGCGGUCCCGCGGUUCGCCUGCCUGGCCUUAAAUGCCUCUUUCGGUAUCUCCUUACGCCCGUUUCAUAAGUCCAUCAUUCCAAAUUUCUGUCAUCACAAGAACUGAGGAAGAGAAAUAAAUCAACCUGAUGUUUGGUGCCGUGACACAGAUUGCUGACUGCCUCCAGAUAAGGCCUAAAAUGUGGUCAGUUGACCUAAUUACUGCUAGAAGUGGAAGCAGCUUUUACGCAGUGGAGAACCUAGUGUGCUCAUGUAAAGAAUCAGUUCUUCAUAAAUGUGAAACGGCUCAGCAUAUUUGAAUAAACGUUUGUUUACUCUUGGACUGGUAUUCAGAUGGUAUCAUCCAACAGAAGCUCUGUGUAUGACUGUGCAUCAGAGAAAUGAUUGGAUUAUGUGUCAGGUGACCCGGCCAGUGGAUUCACAGAGGAGUCAAGGGACUACACACUAGUUUCCCUUUUCCAGUCCCUUUUACACAGUCUUCUACAAUGAUUAUCUGGGCUUACCUCUUAUAAUUUUCAUCAUUUCCAUGAUGUAUAAUAUGCUGGAAACUGUUUAUGAUUCAUCAACUUUGAUCCUCUAUACACAGUGUAAUGGCGUUUCAUAGCACUUAAAAAUUUCAUGGUUUUCUUUUAUGUUGGGAUAAACCAAUAAAUUUCCAAAUAGCCUUCCUUAACAAUAAAAAAAUCCCAUGUGACAAAGAAAACAAUAUACUGUAUAGGAAACUACCGAUAUUUCCUUUAAACAGGGAUUUGUAAAUAGUUAUGAUAAUUCAAAUAAGAGGAUUGCUUUUUAAAGCAAAUGUUUAAUCAUAAGAAACUAAUUGAAAGCAAGUUAAAUUUCAUAAAUUGGAGCAUUUUACAAUGUAUACAAUUUUACAGUGCAGCAUUGUUCUAAAUCCAUAUCACAUAAAAAAGGAAAAAAAAAUACAUUGGUUGGAGAAAAAGAAAAUGUCUAACAAUAAAAAAAAUUCUGUCUGCUCAACUUUUGUCUCUUUCAGAGCAACAAAUAGUUGGCAGUGAUGUUAAAUCUUUAAUUUUCAAGUCUCCAAUGGCCCCAUUUAUACAUUUCAAAAUACAUACCAAACUCCUAUAAUACAGAAGGAAUUUCCAUUCUAUGCCUAGUACACUGUGAUAAAUUUCUUGAAACUGUUUCUUCUAUUUUAGCUGUUUCUUAUUUUGUUUUCAAAUUCAUUCUGUAAGUCUUAAAUAUAAGAAAACAACAGCAGUAACUACUCUGUAGCUUGAAAUGUUUUUACUUAAAUCUAGAUAGGUAAAGCUAGCUAGCAAGAUUAAAAUGAGAGAGAUGUCUUUAUGACCACAUUUUGGAGUGGUCAUAUUUUUUCUGAAGUAUUUUGGCAAAUUGUUAAUUAAAACAAUUGACACUAUUCAUUUUAACUGACACUACUAGAGAUUUUCUGAUAAUAGCAAUGCGUUCUUACCUUAGAAUAUGUUGAAACAAAAGUAGAGAAGAAUGGAUAAGCCAAUCUGCCAUGGUAUACAUUUAAAACUAUGGAACGGCACCUGGAGAAAAGUACUAUUUAUAAUGAAAUGUACAAAUGUUUCCAUUAUGUUUACUGCAGCUACAUAUAACAUCUGCCACAUAGUUCUUUAAUUCCUAUUCUUAAAGUUAUAAUGAUUCUAAGAAUUGAUUUUGUUGAACAGUUUGUUUAUGGAAGUGGUAGUGUCUGCCA